AGAAACUGAAACCAGGUAAUUUCAAAGUCAUUUUUUGUUCUUUUUUUCUUUCUGUCUGUCUGUCCUUUUUUGUAUUUGUUAUUGGCAAAAU
rnacentral:ribozyme from 1 species